CCCAGUGUGAACAGCUGAGAGGUGUGAUUUCACAGGCUGGCUCCCCCCUGUCAGGGCCCUGAUUGGGCCGGACAGGAGGCGCAGGAGAGGCCCGGGCUUCUAAAGGACACCAACAGGUGGGAGGCCGCUUUGGAGGGGGGCGCUCCCGAGCGGGAUAGAAAAGGCCGAUCUGCAAGGCCUGCUGUGUGCACAAUCCAUCGGGUCAGAAACGAAGGAGGAUGGUCAUUCACAGGAGAGCUGAGAUGGAGGGAAGAGAGGGGCAUGAGGGAGUUAUUGAAUGGUUUAAAGGAGGAAGAGGGACCCUUUGAGUUGAGUUAGGGCUUAUAAUUGGUGUAAAGGUAAGCUUUUGGUACAAGGAGCAAAGUUGUUCUGAGAUUCAGGACUUUUUUUCAGGUGUUUUUGGUCGAUCUCUGUUAUUUCAAGUUAGCUCUUUAUGUUGGUUAUAGUUUGUUAUUAACUUCACACUUGUUGUCCUACUAGUUUCCUUGAUUUUAACCACAGUUUGAGUAAGAAUCAGGCGUCAAACUGGUAGUUUUAGUCUUUCUGCAAGUUUUACGAUGGACUCGGGGGCCACAGUGGAGGAGCCCGACACUUCUGACAGGUGAGAGGAAGCUGAGGUGUGACACAGGAAAUAAUCAGGAUAUUUUAUUGAUCUGACAUUUGUUUCUCACAGUUCUAUCAAAGUGAAAGGUUAGUCUUUAUGUGGCCAUUUGGUUGGCAGUGGAGUGCUUAGAUUUAUCAAAGAAGUAGUCACAAGUAGAAAGUGUAGCCAGACUAAAGAGGCCUCCAGCUCAACUCCAGCUGCUCGCGAGAAGAGCACAAGAGGAGACGCAACAGACCUCAAGGUAAGGCUGAAGAGGACACGAUGGCCGAACUGCUCCAGAAGAUGAUGUCCAGCUUCUAUUUCUGUUCCUUCUCCUCUCUCAUAUCCUUCCCUUUCUCUCCUCCUCCUCCUCCUCCUCCUCCUCCUCCUCCUCCUCCUCCCUUACUUUCCCUCUGUCUCGCUGAUGCAACACGCCUUGCUGUGGCUGGUCAAACGGAACCAAGUCAGGUGUUUCUGUGAGGUUUGGUCCCCUUCAACCAGCUACUGCGUCGUGAAUUCAGUCAGCAGACACCAGCGUGAAAGAAGCAAAGACACAGAGGCCGUGCGGUGUAAAAACCGUUUACUUAUACACAGGUGUUAGUCUACUGAUAAAUGACCAAUCAUUUCUUAUCUUAGUUGUUUGAUGUCGCUUGUUUCUUGUAUGGAAAUGGAUGCUUAAAAAAUAAAAUUAAAGAUGUGAAAAAAGG